CUUUAUGCUCUCCUGAGCUGGGGAGAUUGUAGCCAAAAUGCUUUUGUUAUAGUCAGAGGGACCAAGACUGUGUUUUAGUGUGGCAUAGCUCUUUUUUUUUUCCUUUGCCUCAGUCAAAAUACCUGGUCAACAAGUUAUGGUACCUCCUUCAACUUUUGGGGAGACAGCACCGCUGAGGUAUCACCUGUGUUUGAAGGGUCUCUGCAAAGUAAAGAAGCAAAAGCUACUUAAAA
rnacentral:sRNA from 1 species